rnacentral:tRNA from 1 species
UGGCCUAUUAGCUCAGUUGGUUAGAGCGUCGUGCUAAUAACACGAAGGUCGCAGGUCCGAGAGCUUUGAAUUUAA